CUGAGAUCCUGUCUGAUUCUGAAGAGCACUGAAGCACAGGAUACCAUCACCCACCCCAUAAAAGGUUUUUUGCUGGACAUUGAAUUAACAGAUGAUGAUAAUCUGCUGUUUUGGGGUCUGUGUGUUGGAUAUCAUCAUAUACUGUAAGUUUGUUAUGCGCCACUACAGUAUAGAUGAUGUACUAUACCAGACCUCAUGCACACCUGAGAGCGCAGGACCAUCACUUGAUCCAAGAUAACAAAGGGCUGACACAAGACGUAGUCACUAUUUAGCUUUGUCUCUAAUUAUGUUUUAAGCUUUUAGAUAAUUUAGUGUUAAUGUAUUACAGUUUCUAUAGCCAGGCAAAUGAUUAACAUAUCUAAUUGCUAUAUUUAUUUGUUUAGCUAAGGAAGUAUAUGAUAGCAAGUUAUAUCCCCCUCUACAUUGUUUGAUUUUAGGAAGUCUUAUGAAGUUAUAAAACUAUUUUUAAAAUAAUUAUUCAGUAACCAUAAUGAAACACGUAUUUGUAUUUAUUUAUUUAUUUAUUUUUAGAAAUGUGAAGCACUGUACCCUAUUACUUUGAUUUUAUUUUUAUUUAUUUUUAAAUUUGCAUCAAAUGAAAAAAAAAAUAAUCAGAUGUUUUUAUUUCUAAUAGUCUAUCAUUUAUUUUGGAACUCAGUCUAUUUAAGCAGUUUGCAGGCCAGUUAAUUCAGUACUGAAUGUGCUGUAAAUGAACAUUAUUCUAAAUGUCAGCCAGCCAGGGUCAGAGCUGUGAGUAAAACACAGGGAUAAGAUCAUUACUAUGGCACUUACUCAUCAGUCAUUGUCAUUUCUGGGAGUGGCAAUAAAACCGUUACCAUUACUGAGUUUAGUAAUGGUAAUGGUUCUUUUUGCUGCGCCCACUCUCAUCUCUACGACAAAAGCCAGUUGUGCCUGAAGAAAAUGUACCAGAUAUGUUUUUGCUGCAUACAAUGAUUUGUACUUGUAAUAAAUAAACUAUUUCCAUUGCUA